ACGGGAGGCAGCAGUGAGGAAUAUUGGUCAAUGGAGGCAACUCUGAACCAGCCAUGCCGCGUGCAGGAUGACGGUCCUAUGGAUUGUAAACUGCUUUUGUACAGGAAGAAACCUCUCUACGUGUAGAGACUUGACGGUACUGUAAGAAUAAGGAUCGGCUAACUCCGUGCCAGCAGCCGCGGUAAUACGGAGGAUCCGAGCGUUAUCCGGAAUUAUUGGGUUUAAAGGGUUCGUAGGCGGUUUGAUAAGUCAGUGGUGAAAUUUCUUAGCUUAACUAAGACACGGCCAUUGAUACUGUUAGACUUGAAUAGUAUGGAAGUAACUAGAAUAUGUAGUGUAGCGGUGAAAUGCUUAGAUAUUACAUGGAAUACCAAUUGCGAAGGCAGGUUACUACGUACUGAUUGACGCUGAUGAACGAAAGCGUGGGGAGCGAACAGGAUUAGAUACCCUGGUA
rnacentral:rRNA from 1 species